rnacentral:rRNA from 1 species
AGUGAAAAAGAACCUGAAACCGUGUACGUACAAGCAGUGGGAGCCCCACCACUAAGCCAGUGGUGAACUCCACAUACGCAUCCUUUGCUGAGGAUACGGUUAACGGAGCGAAAGCGACGUUCAACCGCAAAAGAAGCAGAGGGGGCUUAGUGGUGGGGUGACUGCGUACCUUUUGUAUAAUGGGUCAGCGACUUAUAUUCUGUAGCAAGGUUAACCGUAUAGGGGAGCCGGAGGGAAACCGAGUCUUAAUUGGGCGUUAAGUUGCAGGGUAUAGACCCGAAACCCGGUGAUCUAGCCAUGGGCAGGUUGAAGGUUGGGUAACACUAACUGGAGGACCGAACCGACUAAUGUUGAAAAAUUAGCGGA